AUGACCUCGACUUGGACACUGGACACCAUCGCAGUCUCAGCACUAUCAGCAUCCAUUGUCACCACAGUUAGCUCCUGUACAGGCAGAGCACACGGUACGACGUGCCAAGUAGUACGAAGAAGUACCAUGGAAGCCAUGGCGUCGCCGGUGCCCAUGGACGUCGACAAGCUCAGCUACGAGAUCUUCGCCUUGCUGGAGAGCAAGUUCUUGUUCGGCGCCGGUGGGGCCGGGUGCCUGUCCGGCCCGGGGACGCCGUUCCGAGGCGCCAACGACGGGCGCGUGCGCGUGCUUGCCGUCGAUGGCUGCGGCGCGGGCGCGGGGGACGCGCUGCUCGCCGCGGCCGCGCUCGCGAGGCUCGAGGCCGGCCUGCGCCAGCGCGCCGGCGACCCCGACGCGCGCGUCGCGGACUUCUUCGACGUGGCCGCCGGCGCCGGCGCGGGCGGCGUGCUCGCGGCGAUGCUGUUCCUCAAGGGCGCCGACGGGCGGCCGCGGUACACGGCCGAGGAGGCGCUGGCCUUCGUGGCCGGGAGCGUCGGGAAGGACUGGGGCGGCCGGCGCCGCGGGUGGACGAAAUUGUUCCGUGGUGGCGCAAGGAAGGCUGAGCGGUCCUUCCGGCGGGUGUUCGGCGACGCCACGCUCAGGGACACCGUGGCCCCGGUGCUCGUGCCCUGCUACGAUCUCGCCACGGGCGCGCCGUUCAUGUUCUCACGCGCCGACGCCGUCGAGAGCGACAGCUUCGACUUCCGCCUCACCGACGUCUGCGCGGCCACCUGCGCCGCCGCCGGUGCGGCCGCGGCCGUCAGGUCGGUCGACGGGCGCACGGCCAUCGCCGCCGCGUCCGGCGCCGUGGCGGCCAUGGGCAACCCGGCCUCCGCGGCGAUCACGCACGUCCUCCACAACAAGCAGGAGUUCCCCCUCGCCGUCAGCAUGGACGACAUCCUCGUCCUGUCCAUCGGCACCGGCGCGUCGUCCUCUGCCGCCACCUGCGGCAACGGGUGGAGCACGCCGAUUCCCGCGCGCUCGCCGUCGCGAGACGAGCUGGCGCGCGUCACCGCCCAGGGAGUCGCGGACAUGGUCGACGAGGCCGUCGCCAUGGCGUUCGGCCACGCGAGCGACAGCAACUACGUCCGCCUACAGGCCAGCAACGCACUCAAUUCGCCGCACACGCAGACGGCAGGCGCGGCGGCCGGAGCAAUGCUCUCGCAGCGGAACGUGGAGUCCGUGCUCUUCCGCGGGCGGAGGCUGUCGGACCGGACGAACGCCGAGAAGGUCGACGCCCUGGCGGCGGAGCUGGUGAAGGAGCAGGAGCGGCGGAUGCGCAGCCCACUCCCGAACGUGGUCAUCAAGCAGGUGGCCUCGCCGCGGCUGUCGUCGGCGACCACCGCGUCGUCGGUGACCGCGACGGUGAGGACGGCGUCGACGAUGCCGUCGCCGGCGUCGUGGGAUUCUCGCCAGUAG
rnacentral:rRNA from 1 species